UACGAAGGGGGCUAGCGUUGCUCGGAUUUACUGGGCGUAAAGGGCGCGUAGGCGGACAGUUUAGUCAGAGGUGAAAGCCCCCGGGCUCAACCUGGGAAUUGCAUUCGAGACUGCGUAGCUAGGGUGCGGAAGAGGGAAGCGGAAUUUCCGGUGUAGCGGUGAAAUGCGUAGAUAUCGGAAGGAACACCAGUGGCGAAAGCGGCUUCCUGGUCCAGCACCGACGUUCAGGCACGAAAGCGUGGGGAGCAAACAGG
rnacentral:rRNA from 1 species